rnacentral:rRNA from 1 species
GUNNGGAGUNGCAANCGNUANUCGGAAUNACUGGGCGUUAAGCGUGCGNAGGCGGUGANGNAAGNCAGUNGUCAAAUCCCCNGGCUCAACCUGGGAAACUGCAUUUGNGACNGCAUCGCUUGGAGUUACGGCAGAGGGGGANGGAAUUUCGNGUGUAGCAGUGAAAUGNGUAGAUAUUCGGAGGAACACCCAUGGCGAAGGCAAUCCCCUGGGCCUGUACUGACGCUCAUGCACGAAAGCGUGGGGAGCAAACAGGAUUAGAUACCCUGGUAGUUCACGCCCUAAACGAUGUUCACUUGGUUGUUUGGGUUCUUUCACUUGACUUCAGUUACGAAGCUAACGCGUUAAGUUGACCGCCUGGGGAGUACGGCCGCAAGG